rnacentral:tRNA from 1 species
CAGAUGAUAAGUUAAUAAAACUUUUUGCUUUGGAAGUAAAGAUUGGUUAAUCCCUCGUCUGA